rnacentral:rRNA from 1 species
ACGCACGCUGGCGGCGUGCUUAACACAUGCACGUCGAACGGAAAGGCCCCAGCUUGCUGGGGUACUCGAGUGGCGAACGGGUGAGUAACACGUGGGUGAUCUGCCCUGCACUCUGGGAUAAGCCUGGGAAACUGGGUCUAAUACCGGAUAGGACCGUGCUUUAGUGUGUGCGGUGGAAAGUUUUUCGGUGCAGGAUGAGCCCGCGGCCUAUCAGCUUGUUGGUGGGGUAAUGGCCUACCAAGGCGGCGACGGGUAGCCGGCCUGAGAGGGUGUACGGCCACAUUGGGACUGAGACACGGCCCAGACUCCUACGGGAGGCAGCAGUGGGGAAUAUUGCACAAUGGGCGCAAGCCUGAUGCAGCGACGCCGCGUGGGGGAUGACGGCCUUCGGGUUGUAAACCCCUUUCGGCAGGGACGAAGCUUUUGUGACGGUACCUGCAUAAGAAGCACCGGCUAACUACGUG